AGUGAACGCUGGCGGUAGGCCUAACACAUGCAAGUCGAACGGCAGCACAGUAAGAGCUUGCUCUUACGGGUGGCGAGUGGCGGACGGGUGAGGAAUACAUCGGAAUCUACUUUUUCGUGGGGGAUAACGUAGGGAAACUUACGCUAAUACCGCAUACGACCUACGGGUGAAAGCAGUGGAUCUUCGGACCUUGCGCGAUUGAAUGAGCCGAUGUCGGAUUAGCUAGUUGGCGGGGUAAAUGCCCACCAAGGCGACGAUCCGUAGCUGGUCUGAGAGGAUGAUCAGCCACACUGGAACUGAGACACGGUCCAGACUCAUACGGGAGGGAGCAGUGGGGAAUAUUGGACAAUGGGCGCAAGCCUGAUCCAGACAUACCGAGUGGUUGAAGAAGGCCUUCGGGUUGUAAAGCCCUUUUGUUGGGAAAGAAAAGCAGCAGGUUAAUGACCCGGUGUUCUGACGGUAACCAAAGAAUAAGCAACGGCUAACUUAGUG
rnacentral:rRNA from 1 species